AGAUCCGUGGUCUAGCGGUUAGAACGCUGGCCUUGUAAUCCUGGGGUCCCGGGUUCGAUUCCCGGCGGUGCCC
rnacentral:tRNA from 1 species